AUGCAAGUCGAACGGCAGCGCGAGAGAGCUUGCUCUCUUGGCGGCGAGUGGCGGACGGGUGAGUAAUAUAUCGGAACGUGCCCAGUAGCGGGGGAUAACUACUCGAAAGAGUGGCUAAUACCGCAUACGCCCUACGGGGGAAAGGGGGGGAUCGCAAGACCUCUCACUAUUGGAGCGGCCGAUAUCGGAUUAGCUAGUUGGUGGGGUAAAGGCUCACCAAGGCAACGAUCCGUAGCUGGUUUGAGAGGACGACCAGCCACACUGGGACUGAGACACGGCCCAGACUCCUACGGGAGGCAGCAGUGGGGAAUUUUGGACAAUGGGGGAAACCCUGAUCCAGCCAUCCCGCGUGUAUGAUGAAGGCCUUCGGGUUGUAAAGUACUUUUGGCAGAGAAGAAAAGGUAUCCCCUAAUACGGGAUGCUGCUGACGGUAUCUGCAGAAUAAGCACCGGCUAACUACGUGCCAGCAGCCGCGGUAAUACGUAGGGUGCAAGCGUUAAUCGGAAUUACUGGGCGUAAAGCGUGUGUAGGCGGUUCGGAAAGAAAGAUGUGAAAUCCCAGGGCUCAACCUUGGAACUGCAUUUUUAACUGCCGAGCUAGAGUAUGUCAGAGGGGGGUAGAAUUCCACGUGUAGCAUGAAAUGCGUAGAUAUGUGGAGGAAUACCGAUGGCGAAGCAGCCCCCUGGGAUAAUACUGACGCUCAGACACGAAAGCGUGGGGAGCAAACAGGAUUAGAUACCCUGGUAGUCCACGCCCUAAACGAUGUCAACUAGCUGUUGGGGCCGUUAGCCUUAGUAGCGCAGCUAACGCGUGAAGUUGACCGCCUGGGAGUACGGUCGCAGAUUAAACUCAGAGGAAUUGACGGGACCCGCACAGCGGUGAUGAUGUGAUUAAUUCGAUGCAACGCGAAAACCUUACUACACUUGACAUGUCUCGGAAUUACUGGGCGUAAAGCGUGUGUAGGCGGUUCGGAAAGAAAGAUGUGAAAUCCCAGGGCUCAACCUGGGAACUGCAUUUUAACUGCCGAGCUAGAGUAUGUCAGAGGGGGGUAGAAUUCCACGUGUAGCAGUGAAAUGCGUAGAUAUGUGGAGGAAUACCGAUGGCGAAGGCAGCCCCCUGGGAUAAUACUGACGCUCAGACACGAAAGCGUGGGGAGCAAACAGGAUUAGAUACCCUGGUAGUCCACGCCCUAAACGAUGUCAACUAGCUGUUGGGGCCGUUAGGCCUUAGUAGCGCAGCUAACGCGUGAAGUUGACCGCCUGGGGAGUACGGUCGCAAGAUUAAAACUCAAAGGAAUUGACGGGGACCCGCACAAGCGGUGGAUGAUGUGGAUUAAUUCGAUGCAACGCGAAAAACCUUACCUACCCUUGACAUGUCUGGAAAGCCGAAGAGAUUUGGCCGUGCUCGCAAGAGAACCGGAACACAGGUGCUGCAUGGCUGUCGUCAGCUCGUGUCGUGAGAUGUUGGGUUAAGUCCCGCAACGAGCGCAACCCUUGUCAUUAGUUGCUACGCAAGAGCACUCUAAUGAGACUGCCGGUGACAAACCGGAGGAAGGUGGGGAUGACGUCAAGUCCUCAUGGCCCUUAUGGGUAGGGCUUCACACGUCAUACAAUGGUCGGGACAGAGGGUCGCCAACCCGCGAGGGGGAGCCAAUCUCAGAAACCCGAUCGUAGUCCGGAUCGCAGUCUGCAACUCGACUGCGUGAAGUCGGAAUCGCUAGUAAUCGCGGAUCAGAAUGUCGCGGUGAAUACGUUCCCGGGUCUUGUACACACCGCCCGUCACACCAUGGGAGUGGGUUUCACCAGAAGUAGGUAGCCUAACCGUAAGGAGGGCGCUACCA
rnacentral:rRNA from 1 species